GGUUUCAUACUCAAGUGACUCCUCUGAUAAUGAUAAAGUUCUCGACAAGGAAUUUUCCAAGGCAUUCCCACUAGGUGUUAAAUCUGAAUUAGAAGCAUCCAAGGCUGAUGAACUACUCAAAAUAGAGGAUGAUUUUGCAACUAGAUUUGCAGGUUGUUGAUGUGCUGCGUUUACAUUAUCACCUUGACUCACACAACCAACACCAAAAGCUUUUUCUAGAUAAAUCAGUACUUCAGCAGAUUUUGAUGCAUCU
rnacentral:misc_RNA from 1 species